AGAGUUUGAUCCUGGCUCAGAUUGAACGCUGAGGCUUAACACAUGCAAGUCGAACGGCAGCGGACCUUCGGGUGCCGGCGAGUGGCGAACGGGUGAGUAAAGUAUCGGAACGUACCUUUCAGUGGGGGAUAACGUAGCGAAAGUUACGCUAAUACCGCAUAUUCUCUGAGGAGGAAAGCAGGGGACCUCCGGGCCUUGCGCUGAUUGAGCGGCCGAUAUCAGAUUAGCUAGUUGGUGGGGUAAAGGCCUACCAAGGCGACGAUCUGUAGCGGGUCUGAGAGGAUGAUCCGCCACACUGGAACUGAGACACGGUCCAGACUCCUACGGGAGGCAGCAGUGGGGAAUUUUGGACAAUGGGCGCAAGCCUGAUCCAGCCAUGCCGCGUGAGUGAAGAAGGCCUUCGGGUUGUAAAGCUCUUUCGGCCGGGAAGAAAUCGCAUCGGUUAAUACCCGAUGUGGAUGACGGUACCGGAAUAAGAAGCACCGGCUAACUACGUGCCAGCAGCCGCGGUAAUACGUAGGGUGCGAGCGUUAAUCGGAAUUACUGGGCGUAAAGCGUGUGCAGGCGGUUUUGUAAGACAGGCGUGAAAUCCCCGGGCUCAACCUGGGAACUGCGCUUGUGACUGCAAGGCUAGAGUAUGGCAGAGGGGGGUGGAAUUCCACGUGUAGCAGUGAAAUGCGUAGAGAUGUGGAGGAACACCGAUGGCGAAGGCAGCCCCCUGGGCCAAUACUGACGCUCAUGCACGAAAGCGUGGGUAGCAAACAGGAUUAGAUACCCUGUAGUCCACGCCCUAAACGAUGUCAACUAGGUGUUGGGAGGGUAAAACCUUUUAGUACCGGAGCUAACGCGUGAAGUUGACCGCCUGGGGAGUACGGCCGCAAGGUUAAAACUCAAAGGAAUUGACGGGGACCCGCACAAGCGGUGGAUGAUGUGGAUUAUUCGAUGCACGCGAAA
rnacentral:rRNA from 1 species